rnacentral:tRNA from 1 species
UGGUCGAUGGUGUAAUAGGUAGCACAGCAGAUUUUGGUUCUGUUAGUCGAGGUUCAAAUCCUCGUCGACCAG